rnacentral:ncRNA from 1 species
GAACUUUCUCAGGGCGGGGUGUAAGUCCCCACCGGUGGUGAUGCCAUAUCUUUAUUGAUGCGGAUAAGCCCACGAGCGCUCAACCAGAGGUGUCACCUAACGGUUGAGGACAGCAGAUUCGGUGAGAUUCCGAAGCCGACGGUAAUAGUCCGGAUAAAAGAGAAGGUUU